CCUUUCAUCAAAGUGGCUGUCAUAUGCUUUCCAAUCCUUCAUAUCACAGCCUGCUUUGAUGAGAGGAA
rfam:Octopus bimaculoides Scaffold40646_contig_7, whole genome shotgun sequence.